rnacentral:rRNA from 1 species
CCACGCCGUAAACGAUGGGUACUAGGUGUUAGGAGUUUCGAUGCUCUUAGUGCCGGAGUAAACGCAAUAAGUACCCCGCCUGGGGAGUACGGUCGCAAGACUGAAACUCAAAGGAAUUGACGGGGGCCCGCACAAGCGGUGGAGCAUGUGGUUUAAUUCGACGCAACGCGAAGAACCUUACCAAGACUUGACAUCCUGUUGACCGGGUAUGUAAUGUACCCUUUCCUUCGGGACAACAGAGACAGGUGGUGCAUGGUUGU